GUUUCGCCGGAGACUCCUUAAUCCGACAUCCUGUUCUGCCGCAUAGCUGCUCGCUGACACUCGGGGCACUCCGAGCUGCUGCCCUGACCAAAAAGCCUUUGUACACGCGAAAGGCCGUGUUGCAACGCAUGUUCCCUUCUCCACGCAGAACAGGGAAGUGGAAACAUCAGCUAAUUAAAGACGGGGAGAAAAGAAAGCAGCUGAGCCAGGAAGCUCCCACCGGCAGUGCUGAGCGCCGGCUUUGGGGCUGUUACAAAGGGGGACGUGUGCCGAGGAGCAAAUCAAGAAGCCGGAGGCUGCUGAUAAGCCCAGCCAGCCCCAGCCGUUCCUGCUCUCCCACGCCGGCCCGCAGCGGGGAAGGGAUGCGGACGCGGCACAUUCGGAGCACGUUGCGACAGCCGGGGAUGGGCGCUGGGGGCAGGACCGGUGGAGCCGCUCCGGGGGUGUUAACCGGUGUCCUGCUGGAUGGCAACAAAAGAAAACAUCCAAGCAGUGAUAAGUGACACGUCUCCCUCAAACGGAACUGAUUCUCUCUGUCAGCAGA